UACGUAGGGUGCGAGCGUUAAUCGGAAUUACUGGGCGUAAAGCGUGCGUAGGUGGUUCGUUGUGUCUGUGGUGAAAGCCCCCGGGCUUAACCUGGGAAUGGCCAUGGAAACUGGCGAGCUGGAGUCUGGCAGAGGGGGGUGGAAUUCCGCGUGUAGCAGUGAAAUGCGUAGAGAUGCGGAGGAACACCGAUGGCGAAGGCAGCCCCCUGGGCUAAGACUGACGCUGAGGCACGAAAGCGUGGGGAGCAAACAGGG
rnacentral:rRNA from 1 species